GCAGCAAGGCUUCUGUCCCUUGUAUUUCCUCCAGAGCAGUACUGGGGACUGAAGCUUGGCUCCUAUAUUUUUUGCGAUGGAUGUCUCACUGCGGUAAAAGCCACAUUGCCAUUGGUGUUAACCCCACUCAAAAUAUUCCCGCACUGAAUGAGAGUGGACUUUUCUCCAAGCGUCAGUGAUGAGGUGUCCUCUGGGAAGUAGUGUGAGCCACGAGCAUACAAACCCCUCCUGCAGCCCAGCCCCGAGACCUGGGGGAGGCAGCUUCUCCUCCCCACUCUUCCCCUCGGCUGAAGGAAGAGCCAACUUGCAUCCCUCAGGACCAGGUGGAUGGGCUCCUGGACCCCCAGGUACCAAACCCUCUACUGCUCCAGUCCCCUGUGUUAAACGGCGUAGAGUUUGGUACAGUCUGAGCCCGCCCUUCCACCCACAGCUCCUUAAGUCAUCUCCUAUCAUGCAGGCUGCUGCCUGCAUGGUCACUGCACUGCCCGGCAUGGGACAGCGACGAGAAGGACGACCUGUAUGUGCUCGGCACAGAGGCCAUCUUCUCCUUGCAAGUACCCCUCACCCAUUGUUCACUGCAUGUGGGGUGGGAGCCUGCGGCAGGAAGGGGCUGGCUCUCGCUCAUUUCGAGUUCAUCACAGCAAGGGCUCCCUGGUUUUGCUAAGGACCCACUUCUUGCAGAAAUAGCAACUCAUGUGGUGCUGGAGGCCUUGGUUUGAAUCCUGGCCUUUGAUUAAGGCUCUCCUGCUGCUCACUCUCCAAACCCCAUUCAUUCACCUCCAGUAAGAGAAUUGAUUAUAAGAGCACCUGCCUCAAAGCGUUUCGAAGGUGAAAUCAAAGGAUACGCACGAAACUUCUCUGUCUGGCACAUCAGAAAGACGUAACACACAAUUCAUCAUCGUGAUAAUAACAAUAACAACGUCGUAAAGACCGCAAAGCACUUUCCUUUGAGGUUAAGCCAUGGGCACUCAGUUCCCUUGGAACUAAGAGGUGGCACUGAGACGAACAGGAGCCCGGGUGGGAAACACACUGCCCUCCCGCUCAGCGCACUCCUGUCCUCUCCUGCUGGGCUCCUGCCCAUCGCUGGGCACUGAGGAAAGGCCUGCAGGUCUGCUCCUGACCAGGAGACACUGAGACAUGGCCACCUCUAAGGUGAUGAUCACGCUGUGUCUGCAGAAGAGAAUUGCACUCUAAGCUGUAAUGCAGAAGAACCCUAAUGAGAUUGUAACAAACCCAGCAGGCCCUGCUUUUUCCAGCUAGAAAUGUGGUUUCUGGAACCAGUGCAGAACAGAACAAGGUAAAAUAUCCCUUCCCCACUACGGUCUCAGAGUCUGUCCUGCGCUGAGUGGACUCCUGAGGGAAUUUUACGUUAUUCAUUGCUGAGGGUGGAGGCCAACAUCUUGCACGUGCUGAGCUCAUGCUGCACCCCGGAGCUGCACCCCCAGCCCAUGGGAACUUCUUUCUGCCCUGCCACCACGGUGAGCCUGCGGCACGUUUUCCCCAACUAUUGCCACCCUCCCCUUCAGCUGGCAUUAUAGUUUGUAAGACUGGCUUAGCCGAGAAGUGAAGCCCAGGGCUAAGUCCUGUAUUCCAAAAAAUUCCUUUAUCAAUGGACGCAAGAUGAUUUAGAGAGAAACACUGUUUUGAUAAAGCAUGGCUCUCACCUAAACUGUUUUUAUCCAGUUAAAGAAAGAACAUGGAAAACAGCAUGAUAAGA